ACCCCGGUUAAUUACGUGCCGCCGCCCCGGUAAUACGUAGGGCGCAAGCGUUAUCCGGAAUUAUGGGCGUAAAGAGUUCGUAGGGGUUUUUCGCGUCCGCUGGGAAAACCCGAGGUUCACCUCGGGCCUGCAGUGGGUACGGGCAGACUAGAGUGCGGUAGGGGAGAUUGGAAUUCCUGGUGUAGCGGUGGAAUGCGCAGAUAUCAGGAGGAACACCGAUGGCGAAGGCAGAUCUCUGGGCCGUAACUGACGCUGAGGAGCGAAAGGGUGGGGAGCAAACAGGCUUAGAUACCCUGGUAGUCCACCCCGUAAACGUUGGGAACUAGUUGUGGGGACCAUUCCACGGUUUCCGUGACGCAGCUAACGCAUUAAGUUCCCCGCCUGGGGAGUACGGCCGCAAGGCUAAAACUCAAAGGAAUUGACGGGGACCCGCACAAGCGGCGGAGCAUGCGGAUUAAUUCGAUGCAACGCGAAGAACCUUACCAAGGCUUGACAUAUACGAGAACGCUGCAGAAAUGUAGAACUCUUUGGACACUCGUAAACAGGUGGUGCAUGGUUGUCGUCAGCUCGUGUCGUGAGAUGUUGGGUUAAGUCCCGCAACGAGCGCAACCCUCGUUCUAUGUUGCCAGCACGUAAUGGUGGGAACUCAUGGGAUACUGCCGGGGUCAACUCGGAGGAAGGUGGGGAUGACGUCAAAUCAUCAUGCCCCUUAUGUCUUGGGCUUCACGCAUGCUACAAUGGCCGGUACAAAGGGGUGCAAUACCGCAAGGUGGAGCGAAUCCCAAAAAGCCGGUCCCAGUUCGGAUUGAGGUCUGCAACUCGACCUCAUGAA
rnacentral:rRNA from 1 species